rnacentral:lncRNA from 1 species
UCUUAGCGACUUCUCAGCUGUUGCCUUGAUUUCCUUGGCUUCGGAGGUGGUGGAGGUGCGUCAGUAAAAUUGGAAGUCACCUAUAGGCCGGGCCAUCGCCUAAUAGGUAGGACCGCGGAAUAUGUGGAGUAUAGGUGAUUUCGCGUAUAUGAUCGUAUACAUCACACCUAUAGGCGAUCUGUUGUAUACAGCAUGGUCUAUAGGCCUGUAGGCUAUAGGUUACCAUGUGUACUCAUGCAAAACUGUGAGAGCCUAAUAGUCCGUUGUAUAAAGGUAUGCCUUUAUGUAGGCCACUCGUGUAUACAGUGUUCGGGGCAAAGCUGCACCAGAGGGUUGCAGAGAUGGGGGAUUGGGGGCAGGUACUGGUCAGGCGGGAUGGGGAAUAGGGUUGACGACGUCAGGAUGGGAUGUGGGGCCCAGGGCG